CAACAUUUUCCAAUUAUAUCUUUCUAAUCAUCCGACCAAAGGCUGAUAUAAAAACCCCGCGGAUUCAAAAGAUCCACAUCAAACACUGCCCCAUACUCAACUCGUGUAGAAGUAAAUUUUCAAAAAAAAAAACACACACACAAAAUGAAUUUCCUACACAUUUUCACAGUCCUUGCCCUGAUCCUGGCCAUUGCCACCACUCAAAAUGAGGCCAAGAAGGGAGGCAAGAGAAAUAACCCUUACGUUAGGGCCGGGGCACAUGUUGCAGGCAAAGCAGUUGAGGGCAUGGGCGGGGCCAUUGCUGCCAAGAUUUUUGAAGGAAAGUGAGGAGAUUCGGAAGAAGAUUCUUAGAUAAUAAAAACUUAAAAACAAAAUCUAAAAA